rnacentral:snRNA from 1 species
GUGCUUGCUUUGGCAGCACAUAUACUGAAAUUGGAAUGCUACAGAGAAGAUUAACAUGGCCCCUGUGUGAGGAUGACAUGCAAACUUGUGAAGAGUUGCAUAUUUUU